CCGGCACCGGUUCACCCCACUGGCUCACUUUGGGCCGAGCGUUGUUCGGGGACCCGGCGGCC
rfam:Amycolatopsis halophila YIM 93223 genomic scaffold AmyhaDRAFT_Scaffold1.1, whole genome shotgun sequence.